rnacentral:rRNA from 1 species
ACAGAGGGGGCAAGCGUUGUUCGGAAUUACUGGGCGUAAAGGGCGCGUAGGCGGCCGCCUAAGUCAGACGUGAAAUCCCUCGGCUCAACCGGGGAACUGCGUCUGAUACUGGGUGGCUUGAAUCCGGGAGAGGGAUGCGGAAUUCCAGGUGUAGCGGUGAAAUGCGUAGAUAUCUGGAGGAACACCGGUGGCGAAGGCGGCAUUCUGGACCAUAACCGACACUGAGAGACGAAAGCCAGGGGAGCAAACGGGA